rnacentral:misc_RNA from 1 species
AACGCACAUUGCGCCCCUUGGUAUUCCGGGGGGCAUGCCUGUUCGAGCGUCAUUAUCACCCCUCAAGCUCAGCUUGGUGUUGGGGCCUGCCCGUCACAGGGCAGCCCUUAAAAGCAGUGGCGGCGCCAUCUGGCUCUACGCGUAGUAAUACAUCUCGCGACAGAGAAGCAUUGGGACUUGCCAAAACUCCUUAAUUGCUCAGGUUGACCUCGAAUCAGGUAGGGAUACCCGCUGAACUUAA